rnacentral:rRNA from 1 species
CAGUAGCCGCGGGAAUACGUAGGGUGCAAGCGUUAAUCGGAAUUACUGGGCGUAAAGCGUGCGCAGGCGGUUCGCUAAGACAGAUGUGAAAUCCCCGGGCUUAACCUGGGAACUGCAUUUGUGACUGGCGGGCUAGAGUAUGGCAGAGGGGGGUAGAAUUCCACGUGUAGCAGUGAAAUGCGUAGAGAUGUGGAGGAAUACCGAUGGCGAAGGCAGCCCCCUGGGCCAACACUGACGCUCAUGCACGAAAGCGUGGGGAGCAAACAGGAUUAGAUACCCCUGUAGUCCCUGUCUCUUAUAC